CCGGAUGUCGUUGAUGAGAUACUCCAGUGACUGCAGGCUGCUGCUCAGCACCGAUGUGUUGCACACACUCUUGCUGGGCAGGCCCGAGAGGGCAUCUGCAGGGGGCCCAGCCAGCUCCCGGGUUCUGCCAUUGUGGUGUGAAAACUCAUUUGUCCUCACCAUUAUACUUUCAUUUGGAGUUUAUCUUGAGUAUCCAAUGAGCCACCAACUGUGAAA
rnacentral:lncRNA from 1 species